CUGUCCUACGGGAGGCAGCAGUGGGGAAUAUUGGACAAUGGGCGAAAGCCUGAUCCAGCCAUGCCGCGUGGGUGAAGAAGGCCUUCGGGUUGUAAAGCCCUUUUGUUGGGGAAGAAAUCCUGCUGGCUAAUACCCGGCGGGGAUGACGGUACCCAAAGAAUAAGCACCGGCUAACUUCGUGCCAGCAGCCGCGGUAAUACGAAGGGUGCAAGCGUUACUCGGAAUUACUGGGCGUAAAGCGUGCGUAGGUGGUGGCUUAAGUCCGUUGUGAAAGCCCUGGGCUCAACCUGGGAAUUGCAGUGGAUACUGGGUCACUAGAGUGUGGUAGAGGGUGGCGGAAUUCCCGGUGUAGCAGUGAAAUGCGUAGAGAUCGGGAGGAACACCCGUGGCGAAGGCGGCCACCUGGGCCAACACUGACACUGAGGCACGAAAGCGUGGGGAGCAAACAGGAUUAGAUACCCUGGUAGUCCACGCCCUAAACGAUGCGAACUGGAUGUUGGGUUCAAUUUGGGACUCAGUAUCGAA
rnacentral:rRNA from 1 species